CUUUCGCAAGCCAUUGUAUACUAAAUAAUAUACAUGUGAAAUUUGAUUUGAUUCAGAAUGGACCAUGAUCAUUAUCGAAACAGGGGCAGCGGGGAAAAAGACGUGAAAUCUAUGCACUACAGUAAAUAGCGAAAGGAGGACGCUUUUCCCCAUGGUUUAUUUUCAUGCCAGCCAGACACAGAAAUCAGCUCAUCAUGGGAGACUUGGGAACACAGUGCUUUAGCAGCCUCAUUCUCAGUGUUGCCCAGGAUUUCCCCUUAAGCCCAGAGAAUCCUGUACAGACCAACAGAACUCUGCGCACAACGAGUUUUCAGUCCGCACCUGCAGAUGAUGAUGGUGACAGUCUACCAAAAAGCUGUAUGAUGAGGAAGACCAGAUCCAGAUGCCAACCAGAGGCUCAGACACAAUGGUCUCAGAUUCCACUUGAGAUCCAGCACUAUCUUAUCACUGCAACAUGACGUUGCCUGAAGCUUGGCCUAGUCCAAGGCCAUCUCCACUGCACUAGGACACUAAAAUGGAUGUAAACAGAGAUGCCUUCAUUCUACCACAUUUUACAAAGUCAUUUCAUGUUUGAUUUAUGCACCAAUAUAUUAUAAUGUAUUUUCUAUUUAACCUUUAUUUAACUAGGUGAGUCUGUUAAGAACAAAUUCUUAUUUACAAUGAUGUCCUACCCUGGCCAAACCCUAACCCGGACGACGCUGGUGCGCCGCCCUAUGGGACUCCCCAUCAUGGCCGGUUGUGAUACAGUCUGGAAUCAAAACAGGGUCUGUAGUGACACCUCUAAGCACUGAGAUGUAUUGUCUUAGACUGACCCAUAAUAAAGUGAAUAACUUUUGUUUCUUACUUGUAUGUGUUACAUGUAAGGUUGAAUAGGUUCAUUUGGAUUAUACAAAUGACUCAAUUACAGUGUUGUUCAGGUUGACUUGAAAUAUUGUUAUUACUUUGUCCUCUGUUUUGGUAUUGUACUUUCUGUAACUGGUCUCAUCACCUGCCCACUGCGUUGCUUAUGAAUGACACUUGCCAUAAAGUGAAGCAAGCCAA